GACGACUUACAGACGACUUACAAACGACUAACAGGUAAGUCGUCCCAGACGUCUUCCAGAUCUGAAAAACUUGCAUAUCUAAAUCUAUAUCUGAAAAACCUGUAUAUCAAAAAACGUUCAAAUGACUUAAAACAGAGAAAAUAAGUAGAAGAUUAGAUAAAUCUACUUUUAUAUAACACACAAAAAUACAUAUCUAAAAUUGAUAGAUCUACUUUUAAAUGAGUGGAAGAUGAGAACCAUGUGAUGAAAAACCUCCAAAAACAAGAUAAACUAGUAAGAAGGACAUGAAACAAAAAAAAUAAAUUGAUAUAAAGCUUAGUGUUCAUAAGUUGAAAGAGAUUAGAGAGAGGUUGGAGAGUUUUAGAAUGAUGAACAUUACAUUUUUGUUGCAGCCAUUUGAGAGAAUGUAUAAAUUUUUCUUUAUA